GCGUCACUGGAGUAGUGGUUAACUCGUUGCCCUCCCACAGUAGAGAGGCAGAAAGUGCGUCUUGCGCCCCGAAAUGUUGAAUGAUUCACUGCUGACCAAAAUUAAUAGCACUGGUUCGAACCCGGUGUGACGCA